rnacentral:misc_RNA from 1 species
CCAAACUUGGUCAUUUAGAGGAAGUAAAAGUCGUAACAAGGUUUCCGUAGGUGAACCUGCGGAAGGAUCAUUAUUGAAACAUUGUGAAGGAGGUUGAGCUGGCUUUCAGCAUGUGCUCACUUCCUUUCAAUCUUCAUCCACUUGUGCACUCUAUGUAGGGAUGUUGGGAAUCUGGAAAUGGGUGUAGAAGCCCUCAGUACGGAUUGCUCUUCUCUAUGUUUUUUUUCAUAUACUCUUAAUGUAUGUCAAUGAAUGUUUUUAUUGGGGACUUGAUUGGCCCUAUAAAAAAGUUAUACAACUUUCAGCAACGGAUCUCUUGGCUCUCGCAUCGAUGAAGAACGCAGC